rnacentral:piRNA from 1 species
AAUCUCUAGUAGGGCUGGGGUGUAGAGGG